rnacentral:rRNA from 1 species
UACGGAGGGUGCAAGCGUUAUCCGGAUUCACUGGGUUUAAAGGGCGCGUAGGCGGGUUGCCAAGUCUGUGGUGAAAUCCUCCGGCUCAACCGGAGAACUGCCGUGGAUACUGGCGACCUCGAGGGGGGUAGGGGCUUGCGGAACUGUGCGUGGAGCGGUGAAAUGCGUUGAUAUGCACAGGAACUCCGGUGGCGAAGGCGGCGAGCUGGACCCUUUCUGACGCUGAGGCGCGAAAGCCAGGGGAGCGAACGGG